rnacentral:rRNA from 1 species
UGGGAACUGCAUUCGAAACUGGCAGGCUAGAGUCUUGUAGAGGGGGGUAGAAUUCCAGGUGUAGCGGUGAAAUGCGUAGAGAUCUGGAGGAAUACCGGUGGCGAAGGCGGCCCCCUGGACAAAGACUGACGCUCAGGUGCGAAAGCGUGGAGAGCAAACAGGAUUAGAUACCCUGGUAGUCCACGCCGUAAACGAUGUCGAUUUGGAGGUUGUGCCCUUGAGGCGUGGCUUCCGGAGCUAACGCGUUAAAUCGACCGCCUGGGGAGUACGGCCGCAAGGUUAAAACUCAAAUGAAUUGACG